AAAUUAUGGUGUGGGACAGCUGCGAGUAAAUCCUUGUAACGCUCCCAAUACUUAUAGAAGACUUCCCCAUCUUUUUGCUUGAAAUUUUAAAUUUGAUCCAUGAGAAGU